GCAAUGGUAGCUCAGCGUUAGAGCGCCGGUCUUGUAAGCCGGACGCCGGAGGUUAAAAUCCUCCCCAUUGCU
rnacentral:tRNA from 1 species